GGUUAAGCGACUAAGCGUACACGGUGGAUGCCCUGGCAGUCAGAGGCGAUGAAGGGCGUGCUAAUCUGCGAUAAGCGCCGGUAAGGUGAUAUGAACCGUUAUAACCGGCGAUACCCGAAUGGGGAAACCCAGUGUGUUUCGACACACUAUCAUUAACUGAAUCCAUAGGUUAAUGAGGCGAACCGGGGGAACUGAAACAUCUAAGUACCCCGAGGAAAAGAAAUCAACCGAGAUUCCCCCAGUAGCGGCGAGCGAACGGGGAGGAGCCCAGAGCCUGAAUCAGCAUGUGUGUUAGUGGAAGCGUCUGGAAAGGCGCGCGAUACAGGGUGACAGCCCCGUACACAAAAGCGCAUGUGCUGUGAGCUCGAUGAGUAGGGCGGGACACGUGGUAUCCUGUCUGAAUAUGGGGGGACCAUCCUCCAAGGCUAAAUACUCCUGACUGACCGAUAGUGAACCAGUACCGUGAGGGAAAGGCGAAAAGAACCCCGGCGAGGGGAGUGAAAAAGAACCUGAAACCGUGUACGUACAAGCAGUGGGAGCCCCACCACUAAGCCAGUGGUGAACUCCACAUACGCAUCCUUUGCUGAGGAUACGGUUAACGGAGCGAAAGCGACGUUCAACCUCAAAAGAAGCAGAGGGGGCUUAGUGGUGGGGUGACUGCGUACCUUUUGUAUAAUGGGUCAGCGACUUAUAUUCUGUAGCAAGGUUAACCGAAUAGGGGAGCCGGAGGGAAACCGAGUCUUAACCGGGCGUUAAGUUGCAGGGUAUAGACCCGAAACCCGGUGAUCUAGCCAUGGGCAGGUUGAAGGUUGGGUAACACUAACUGGAGGACCGAACCGACUAAUGUUGAAAAAUUAGCGGAUGACCUGUGGCUGGGGGUGAAAGGCCAAUCAAACCGGGAGAUAGCUGGUUCUCCCCGAAAGCUAUUUAGGUAGCGCCUCGUGAAUUCAUCUCCGGGGGUAGAGCACUGUUUCGGCUAGGGGGCCAUCCCGGCUUACCAACCCGAUGCAAACUGCGAAUACCGGAGAAUGUUAUCACGGGAGACACACGGCGGGUGCUAACGUCCGUCGUGAAGAGGGAAACAACCCAGACCGCCAGCUAAGGUCCCAAAGUCAUGGUUAAGUGGGAAACGAUGUGGGAAGGCCCAGACAGCCAGGAUGUUGGCUUAGAAGCAGCCAUCAUUUAAAGAAAGCGUAAUAGCUCACUGGUCGAGUCGGCCUGCGCGGAAGAUGUAACGGGGCUAAACCAUGCACCGAAGCUGCGGCAGCGACGCUGAUGCGUUGUUGGGUAGGGGAGCGUUCUGUAAGCCUGCGAAGGUGGCCUGUGAGGGUUGCUGGAGGUAUCAGAAGUGCGAAUGCUGACAUAAGUAACGAUAAAGCGGGUGAAAAGCCCGCUCGCCGGAAGACCAAGGGUUCCUGUCCAACGUUAAUCGGGGCAGGGUGAGUCGACCCCUAAGGCGAGGCCGAAAGGCGUAGUCGAUGGGAAACGGGUUAAUAUUCCCGUACUUGGUGUUACUGCGAAGGGGGGACGGAGAAGGCUAUGUUGGCCGGGCGACGGUUGUCCCGGUUUAAGCGUGUAGGUGUGUGUUCCAGGUAAAUCCGGUUCACUUUAACACUGAGGCGUGAUGACGAGGCACUACGGUGCUGAAGCAACAAAUGCCCUGCUUCCAGGAAAAGCCUCUAAGCAUCAGGUAACAUCAAAUCGUACCCCAAACCGACACAGGUGGUCAGGUAGAGAAUACCAAGGCGCUUGAGAGAACUCGGGUGAAGGAACUAGGCAAAAUGGUGCCGUAACUUCGGGAGAAGGCACGCUGACACGUAGGUGAAGUGAUUUACUCAUGGAGCUGAAGUCAGUCGAAGAUACCAGCUGGCUGCAACUGUUUAUUAAAAACACAGCACUGUGCAAACACGAAAGUGGACGUAUACGGUGUGACGCCUGCCCGGUGCCGGAAGGUUAAUUGAUGGGGUCAGCGCAAGCGAAGCUCCUGAUCGAAGCCCCGGUAAACGGCGGCCGUAACUAUAACGGUCCUAAGGUAGCGAAAUUCCUUGUCGGGUAAGUUCCGACCUGCACGAAUGGCGUAAUGAUGGCCAGGCUGUCUCCACCCGAGACUCAGUGAAAUUGAACUCGCUGUGAAGAUGCAGUGUACCCGCGGCAAGACGGAAAGACCCCGUGAACCUUUACUAUAGCUUGACACUGAACAUUGAGCCUUGAUGUGUAGGAUAGGUGGGAGGCUUUGAAGUGUGGACGCCAGUCUGCAUGGAGCCGGCCUUGAAAUACCACCCUUUAAUGUUUGAUGUUCUAACGUGGACCCGUGAUCCGGGUUGCGGACAGUGUCUGGUGGGUAGUUUGACUGGGGCGGUCUCCUCCUAAAGAGUAACGGAGGAGCACGAAGGUUGGCUAAUCCUGGUCGGACAUCAGGAGGUUAGUGCAAUGGCAUAAGCCAGCUUGACUGCGAGCGUGACGGCGCGAGCAGGUGCGAAAGCAGGUCAUAGUGAUCCGGUGGUUCUGAAUGGAAGGGCCAUCGCUCAACGGAUAAAAGGUACUCCGGGGAUAACAGGCUGAUACCGCCCAAGAGUUCAUAUCGACGGCGGUGUUUGGCACCUCGAUGUCGGCUCAUCACAUCCUGGGGCUGAAGUAGGUCCCAAGGGUAUGGCUGUUCGCCAUUUAAAGUGGUACGCGAGCUGGGUUUAGAACGUCGUGAGACAGUUCGGUCCCUAUCUGCCGUGGGCGCUGGAGAACUGAGGGGGGCUCUCCUAGUACGAGAGGACCGGAGUGGACGCAUCACUGGUGUUCGGGUUGUCAUGCCAAUGGCACUGCCCGGUAGCUAAAUGCGGAAGAGAUAAGUGCUGAAAGCAUCUAAGCACGAAACUUGCCCCGAGAUGAGUUCUCCCUGAGACUUAGAGUCUCCUGAAGGAACGUUGAAGACGACGACGUUGAUAGGCCGGGUGUGUAAGCGCAGCGAUGCGUUGAGCUAACCGGUACUAAUGAACCGUGAGGCUUAACCUU
rnacentral:rRNA from 1 species